GACGUAGGGAGCGAGCGUUGUCCGGAUUCAUUGGGCGUAAAGAGCGCGUAGGCGGCCGUGCAAGUCGGUUGUGAAAUCCCGGGGCUUAACCGGGGAACUGCGUCCGAUACUGGAUGGCUUGAGUUUGGGAGAGGGAUGCGGAAUUCCAGGUGUAGCGGUGAAAUGCGUAGAUAUCUGGAGGAACACCGGUGGCGAAGGCGGCAUCCUGGACCAACACUGACGCUGAUGAGCGAAAGCCAGGGGAGCAAACGGG
rnacentral:rRNA from 1 species